rnacentral:lncRNA from 1 species
GCUGCGGCCGUGCAGAGGGCGUGGGGGAGAGGGAGGGGGAGCGGCAGGGGCCGGUGGGCCGCCUGCCCUGCUGGGCCGGCCCACCAGCGGCCAUUGUUUUAUUUUUUUUAUUUUUUAUUUUUCUUAUUUGAUGUAUAUGAUGUAUAAUUGUUAUAAAUAAUUAUUAAUUGUUCUAAAUAAAUAUAUAUAAUGUAUUAUUAAUUAUUAAUUGUCCUAAAUACUUACUAAUUGUCAUAAAUACAUAACUAAUUAUUAAUUAUUAAUUGUCCUAGAUAAAUGUAUAUAAUGUUUUAUUUUUCUUAAAAUUAUUAAUUGUCCUAAAUAAUUAUCAAUUGUCCUAAAUAAAUGUAUAUGAUGUUUUAUUUUUCUUAUAUACAUUAUGCAUAUCCUAAAUAAUUAUUAUUUAUUUUCCUUAUUUGAUG